GAGGUUACUGCUAUCGAGGUUCGACUAAGCCAUGCGAGUCGAAUGUAGCAAUACAUGGCGAACUGCUCAGUAACACGUGGACAACCUGCCCUUAGGACGGGGAUAAACCCGGGAAACUGGGUAUAAUACCCGAUAGGUCUCGAUUGCUGGAAUGCAUCGAGAUUUAAAGCUCCAGCGCCUAAGGAUGGGUCUGCGGCCUAUCAGGUAGUAGUGGGUGUAGCGUACCUACUAGCCUACGACGGGUACGGGUUGUGAGAGCAAGAGCCCGGAGAUGGAUUCUGAGACACGAAUCCAGGCCCUACGGGGUGCAGCAGGCGCGAAAACUUUACAAUGCUGGCAACAGCGAUAAGGGAACCUCGAGUGCCAGGUUACAAAUCUGGCUGUCGAGAUGCCUAAAAAGCAUUUCAUAGCAAGGGCCGGGCAAGACCGGUGCCAGCCGCCGCGGUAACACCGGCGGCUCGAGUGGUAACCGUUAUUAUUGGGUCUAAAGGGUCUGUAGCCGGCCGGAUAAGUCUCUUGAGAAAUCUGGCAGCUUAACUGUCAGGCUUUCAGGAGAUACUGUCUGGCUCGAGGCCGGGAGAGGUGAGAGGUACUUCAGGGGUAGGGGUGAAAUCUUGUAAUCCUUGAAGGACCACCAGUGGCGAAGGCGUCUCACCAGAACGGACCUGACGGCAAGGGACGAAAGCUAGGGGCACGAACCGGAUUAGAUACCCGGGUAGUCCUAGCCGUAAACGAUACUCGCUAGGUGUCGGCCACGGUGCGACCGUUGUCGGUGCCGUAGGGAAGCCGUGAAGCGAGCCACCUGGGAAGUACGGCCGCAAGCCUGAAACUUAAAGGAAUUGGCGGGGGAGCACCACAACGGGUGGAGCUUGCGGUUU
rnacentral:rRNA from 1 species